GUUCAAGAAGCUAAUGGUUUCAGUGACCACGAGGUGCUCCUAGAGCUACUGCGGCAUAAAACUGUUGGCCAACAGAUGCCACCUCAUCGCUGUCUUUAACAACUCCAUUCCCAUCCUGGAUGGAGGAGCCCAGCUUUAUGGCAGCGUUUAUAAGCUGUGUUGCCAAUACCAACGUCUCCGUGGUCCAAGGUUUAAUCUCACAUGAUGCCGGGAACUCGCGAAACAUGGCACUCCAUUUGAUUUGUACUCGUGGAAUUUGGCAGCCGGCUAGCUCUCUUCUCUGUGUACCUGCUGAAGUCACAGCUGCUGCCUAAACUUUGUA